UACGUAGGGAGCAAGCGUUGUCCGGAAUCAUUGGGCGUAAAGCGCGCGUAGGUGGCCUCAUAAGUCCGCUGUGAAAGUCAAAGGCUCAACCUUUGAAAGCCGGUGGAUACUGUGAGGCUAGAGUACGGAAGAGGCGAGUGGAAUUCCUGGUGUAGCGGUGGAAUGCGCAGAUAUCAGGAGGAACACCAAUAGCGUAGGCAGCUCGCUGGGACGUUACUGACACUGAGGCGCGAAAGCGUGGGGAGCGAACAGG
rnacentral:rRNA from 1 species